CCUCGACGAUCUAAAAUAGUCACAUUUACGUAUACCACAGACACUCCUAUCGCAGGUACAUUUUAACCUGCAUUUAACCGUGGCAAAUGCAAUGAUGAGUGCGUGCACAUUUUUGCCUCCGCGAGUAUGAUUUUCAUAUUAUUAAUCAUUCAAUCGAGUAUUUUUGUGAUUUGUUCAGAAACUCCGACUCCUUCCCCUGGGCCCGAAUCUGGACUUCGUGUUGGAUCUGAGCUUAAAAAUGAACAACUGUUUCAGCUUCGCGGGAAGUUAUACAAUUUUGGAAAACUCGACGGAGGAGAUCUGUGCGAAAGACUGAAUAAGAAAACAAGUGCGGAAGAUAAAGAAGAAUCGAAUGAACAGUGCAGAGAGAUGACGGAGAGAGUUGAGCGACUCGGAGAAAAUGAAGGGAGGUCUCCCGGAUGUGUGAAACUACGAAAACCAGCCUGCAGAGCCACAUGGCACUUCCCGCCAAAGUACAGGUGUACCGUGGAAAUCCGCAGCAUCUUCUGGUUUUUUGCCUUGAGGGCAAGAGUAAUUAUCCCAAGGUGGAAAAUGAUACCUCUCACCGAAUGCAUUCAAGCAUUCUUGAGCAAGCGCCAGCAGAGUAUGCAGAGAGCUUUGAGUAGGACAAAAAGCAUCAACAGGCAAAUAUCCAUUAAGGCAUCCCGCUAAGGAGAUAUGAAACAGUUUAAACAUCAACUGCUCCAAUUAAUUUGCAUUGAAUUUUACAAAAAAUAACCAAAUGUAUUCCAAUGUCCCUGGGAUUUUGUAACUUUUUUACCUGGCAAAUAUAAACUGAUCAUCUAAACAAGUUUUAUCUUUACUUCCAAUAAUCCAAAAAUUCAAUAUGAAAAUUACCUUUAUAAAUUGAAUUUUCUCCAUGAUUUCAGUAAUUUUCUUGCAAAAAAUGUAAGUUGCACAAUCCUAGCAAUAUUGGAAUGCUCUGUUUCUUUUCGCAAAAUGCAAACCAUUUGUCGAUGAUAAAAGUCGUAAAACAUGUAUCUCGGUUGCAACGUGUCUAAAUCCUCAAUGUUGUUCUAUUUAUUUAUUUAUUCAUUCAUUUUUUUUAUAAAAACAAGAAACGGGAUCGCUUGUUAGGCAUUUUUAUAGAAUAUUCUUCUCAAGAUGAAUAAAUUCAAUAAAUUCCAAAGUAACAAUGUUCGCUGAUUUUCCUUCAAAGAAAUUAAACUUGACAAGAAAUCUCAGGUGAGUGAAUGCAAAGAUAUGUCUUUUGCGACUUUCACAAGUGAAAUCGGUUUAUUUCGGAGGCAUUUUAUCUAAUCUAGGUGCAAUUGCAUACGUCUA
rnacentral:lncRNA from 1 species